rfam:Picea glauca, whole genome shotgun sequence.
AUGUAAUCUAAUGCCUACAACGUUAAUGCAAAGAAUUUCAUGAGAACUCCAUAGUUAAGCGUGCUUGGGAUUGAGUAGUACUGGAAUGGGUGACAACACGGGAAGUUCUUGCAUUUUACAUG